UGUCCCCGGACUUUUUAUUGGUUUACUUUUUUUAGAAGUAGAUGUAGAACUGCUUGGCCUGACAAGUCGUGGGAUUGGUAACUUUUCUGGAAGUUGCUGAUCCAUGAUGCUGUCUCCUCCACAAGCAAAACAAAUGUGUGCGCGGUUGCAUAGUGCGUAGCUCGUGCACCUCUGCAUGGGCUUGCUUGCUGUGCACGUAAUCGUUGAUUGACAGCAUGACAAAGCAGAAGCUCGAACUUGAUUGGCUAGCUGCCGAACGGCGCUUUUUGGAAUAACAUGGGGGUUUAUGAGAGGAAGGCGGAGCUCAUGAAUAAAUUUUCAUAUCGCAUCAUACUAACAUUAUAUUAUAGUAUCGAACUAGACUAACACAUUUAAGCUUUGUUAAACAAUGAUACAUAAAUUGAAAACAAACGGAAACGCCGGACAUGAGCUUUAACGACACAAGUGUAUGUAAUAUUAACUUUUAGUUUUAAUGUCCCAGUUUUUUUGUUUUUUAAGAAAGGUAUAUUCAGUAUUGUAAUCUGUAUUUAUCACAUUAUGUUGUAGGCCCAAAUUUAGCUAUAAUUCAAAACUCAAUGAUAUGAUGUCACACCUUAUUAAACAGCAAAACUGCACAGCAAAGGUUAUAUAAACUCAGUAAGAAAUGACAGUUUCUUCACAGACCAUUCGUGACUUGUGCAGAAACUCAUCUGUGAACAACAGAAUAUUUUUAGGUAUACGGCUUUGUAACUUCAUGUAUAAACAUCAUUAAUUUAUGAGUAUGUAUGUCUAUUUACUUGUUACCCCAGACACAACAGAUUAUCCAGCACUUGGAAAAAUUGUCCUCCAUGUCUGGAACAGACAAGCAGCUGUUUGUCACAGAGGUCCUUGUCCCAGAGUUUUGAUUCGGUGGUUGCAAACCAACAGCAAUAUGUGCCGCUAUCAAGCAGAAUCCAUGCUUCUGAAGAGCACAUCUGCCAAAGGAGAGACAAGAGCUGAAACCACAGUAACAGAGGAAAAUACAGAACCUGGAACAGUGCUUCUAAUGCAUGCCAUAGCUGCAGCUGACUGGUGCAAGAAGCCCAAAUUUGGGGGAGCCUUGAAGCUGCCAGCUGUCAUUUCAAUGGACAAAGACGAACAAAUGGAAGUCCUCAAAGAACUGCAGAGCUGGGAGGGUGAAUAUGAUGAGUCCUCUCCGAUGGAAAUGAUGUCAUUUGUUGUUGAAAAACAGGAUGACUAUGAGAAGUUCACUGAAGAAACAGUCGACAAAAAAACAUGAAAAUGUUUGCCAGGUUUGAGGAGGUUAUGAACCUGAGUAAAUAAAGUAAUCCAGGAAAACACCCCCUCCCACCCACACACACACCAUAUAUGUUGUAUUUACUAUUUUACUUUUUUGUAUUCUGUAUUUUUUAUAGUGUAUUAAAAUGGUUAAGAGUUGUUCAAGAAAAAUAUGAUACACACACCUUAUAUUUUGUAUUUUAUUACUAUAUUUACUUUUUAAAAACUUUUGUUGUAUUCUGUAUUUUAUUUAUAGUGUAUUAAAAUGGUUAAGAGUUGUUCAAGAAAAAUAUGAUACACACACCUUAUAUUUUGUCUUUUAUUACUGUAUUUACUAAUUGACUUUUUUGUAUUCUGUAUUGUAUUUAAAUUUUAAUAGUAACUAAUAUUUACUUUCAGUUUAAUCAGUUUAAAUUUCAUCUGCUUUUAAUUGCACAACUUUAUUUCUGUGUGAGGCUCUGAUGAGAAUUCUUCAGAACAGCAUGGAGACGAGGGAGGGGGCUAAACGCUGAUUGCUAUUCAUAGCAGAGUUGCUGGAGUGCUAGUUAAAAAAAAACAAACAAACAAAACUUUAAGAUCCCAAUGCACCGUGGCAUGAAUCGUGGCAUUUCCCCAAACAGCGGUAUAAGUACCGGUACUGGCAUUAGCAUCUCUCCCAAACAGUGGCAUUAACCGUGGCAUCUCCCUCAGACAGCGGGAUAAACCGUGGCAUGUCGCCCAAACAGCGGUAAAAAUACUGGCAUUAGCCGUGGCAUCCCCUAAACAGUGGCAUUAACCGUGGCAUCCGGCGGUAACACAAAAAGUGUCACUGUUAGCUGCCAGUGCCACCAAUGGGUCUUGCCCCUACUGAUCUGUGAAUCUCUUUCCAACUUUACCUAACUGGAAAAUCAUCGGUUUUUCCGAUUUACUCCAAAAAUGAGCUAAUCUCGCCUUUGAGCUCCCACACUAGCUGACAUACUUUCCCCAAACUUAACCAGCGGACAUGAGAGUGGUAAAGCAAGUCCUUGUGAUCAGGAUCAGUUUCUUCAAGAACCUUAAUGAACUGAUGAUGCUGAAGCCCUCUCGCGCCUAUAAAGUUAAUGAGUUUUAUGACUGGCUUCACCACAUGAUGAAGAUGCAAAACAGACUUACGGAGCGUUUCCUGAUGGAUUAUGCAGUGUAGGAAAAUCACAUCCA